AUAAAUUUUAUGAUUUUUCGAUAUCAUUUGCCUAGUGAUCGAAGGGACUCAAAAUCAAUAAUUUUAAUGGCCGUGAUAAGCCGUUUGCAAGUUUAACGGUGUAGAAAUAUCCAAAUCACGUGAAAUUUUGAUAGAAAAUUUUUUAUACUAUAUAAAACAAGAUCAAUAUCUUUGAUCUAAAAUUUUAAUGUCAUAUUAUCACGUUUUGUAAGAUUUUUAUUUUCAGCCGUUGAUUUUGAGCCCCUUAGUUCACUAGGCAAAUGAUAUCAAAAAAUUGCAAAAUUUAUUUUCUAGAUACUUCAAAUACUCUAGAUCAAGUUUAACGGAGCCGAUCGACGAUUCGAAAGUCGCAACAUCAAAAAUGACUUGGAAGCACGGAAGGCUCCGUGCUUCCAGAAGCAUAGUAGCCUCAUUCUCUCUCUCUCUCUCUCUCUCUCUAUAUAUAUAUAUAUAUAUAUAUAUAUAUAUAGAACUAGCCUACUAUACUAUCGGUAGCACGGAGCGCUCCGUGCUACCAAGUUGUUUUCGAUGAUGCGGCUUCGAAAUCGACGAUCGGCUCAGUUAGACUUGAUCUACACUAUUGAAAGUAUUUAGAAACUAAAUUUCAUAAUUUUUCGAUAUCAUUUACCUAUCAAACAAGUAGUCUAAAAUUGAACAACUGAAAAUAAAAAUCUCAUGAAAAAUGAUGAUAAAAGAUUUAAAUUCAAGAUCAGAUACACUGAUCUUACUCUAAAUGGUGAAAAGAAUUUUCUAUAAAAUUUUCAUCGCAUUUGGAUUGUUUUACACCGUUAAACUCACAAACACACCACAUCGGCCAUUAAAAUUGUCAAUUUUGAGAUCUUUUGAUCACUAGUCAAAUGAUGUCGAAAAAAUCUGAAAUUUAGUUUUCAAAUACUUUCAAUAGUGUAGAUCAAGUUUAACGGAGCCGAUUGUCGAUUUUGAAGCCGCAUCAUCGAAAACAACGUGGCAGCACGGAGCGCUCCGUGCUAUCGAUAGCAUAGUAGCCGGACUCUAUAUAUAUAUAUAUAUAUAGGCCGUGGCUACUAUACUAUUAUGAGUAUUGGAGCCCUCAUACUCAUAAGUUGUUUUCGAUAAUAGAGCUUCCGAAUCGACGAUCCACUCCGUUAAAUAUGAUCUAGAGCAUUUGAAACUUCUAGAAAAUAAAUUUCGUAAAUUUUCGAAAUCAUAAUAAAGUUCAUCAAGCGGGCAUAAAAUAAACGGUCAAAAUCGAACGACGUCCUAAAAAAGGAUGAUCGGAUCCUUUAAUUCAAGA
rnacentral:lncRNA from 1 species